rnacentral:rRNA from 1 species
GACGAAAACUUGUUCACCGCCUCAUGCUUAUCUGUCAAUACAAUCUAUUUUGAAUAUCUGAGUGCUAGUUGUCUACUACACUCCAUACUGGCAACCGCUUUAUGGGAUAUUCAUGCCUGCGUAACCUGCCUACCAUAUGUGGAUAACAUUGGAACACGUAUGCUACUCCCGUAUGACAGCGCAUGAUGACUAUUACCUGUUCUCCACAUUCCUCUGCUAUGUCUCUUGGAUGGACCUGCGAGUGCUUAGCUAGUUGGUAGGGUAACGGCCUACCGUGGCGAUCAUGCGUAGCCGAUUUGAGAGACUGUAUCGGCCACAUUGUGACUGAGACACUGGCCCAAACUCUCUACUGUGAGGCACCAAGAGGGAAUCUUCCAUCUUGGACGCAUCUCUGAUUGACCAACACCGCGUGAGUUAAUCACGGUUUCUGCUCUUAAAGCUCUGUUGCUGGCGAAUAAGGACAGGCGCAGUAACUGACCUGUGUUUGACCGUAAGCGAUUAUACAUCUCACGGCUAACUACUUGCCAGCAUCCGCGCUAAUAUCAAGGUGGCAAGCGCCGUCCGGAUUUAUUGUCCGUAAAGCGAGUGCAGGCGGCUCGAUAGUCUGAUGUGAAAGCCUUCGGCUCAACCGGAGAAUUGCAUCAGAAACUGUCGAGCUUGAGUACAGAAGAGGAGAGUGGAACUCCAUGUGUAGCGGUGAAAUGCGUAGAUAUAUGGAAGAACACCGGUGGCGAAGGCGGCUCUCUGGUCUGUUACUGACGCUGAGGCUCGAAAGCAUGGGUAGCGAACAGGAUUAGAUACCCUGGUAGUCCAUGCCGUAAACGAUGAGUGCUAAGUGUUGGGAGGUUUCCGCCUCUCAGUGCUGCAGCUAACGCAUUAAGCACUCCGCCUGGGGAGUACGACCGCAAGGUUGAAACUCAAAGGAAUUGACGGGGGCCCGCACAAGCGGUGGAGCAUGUGGUUUAAUUCGAAGCAACGCGAAGAACCUUACCAGGUCUUGACAUCCAUAGCCAGUCUAAGAGAUUAGAUGUUCCCUUCGGGGACUAUGAGACAGGUGGUGCAUGGCUGUCGUCAGCUCGUGUCGUGAGAUGUUGGGUUAAGUCCCGCAACGAGCGCAACCCUUGUCAUUAGUUGCCAGCAUUAAGUUGGGCACUCCUAAUGAGACUGCCGGUGACAAACCGGAGGAAGGUGGGGAUGACAUCAAGUCAUCAUGCCCCUUAUGACCUGUGCGACACACGUGUUACAAUGGACGGUACAUCGAGAAGCGACCCUGUGAAGGCAAGCGGAUCUCUGAAAGCCGUUCUCAGCUCGGAUUGCAGGCCGCAACUCGCCUGCAGGAAGCUGGAAUCGCUAGUAUUGGCAAAUCAGCACGUUGCGGUGAACACGUGCCCGGCCCG